GACUCCGUUGCUCUUUUCGGGUCUCUUUGUAGAGGAUUGUGAAUCGAAGCACGGCCAUCUUUUUGUAUUUGCAUGAGCUUUUUCGGUGCAAAAGGACAGUGUGUCUUCAUGGUGAGUUUCUGUGGGGCGGCUGGUGGGAUUUCGAUAACGGGUCGGAGCAUCGGAGCAGUUCCAUACAGAGACCGCGGCACGUCACAGACCUUUCCCUCAGCGGGGAUCCAAUCAGACUGCCAUGGGACGCCCGACGCCACUCGGGUGCAAACUGGCAGUCCGUUGGGGGCGUCCACAUGGAGUCUUUCAGAGACAAUAUUAUUGAGCUUUUCUCUACAGGUUUAGAUCAAUCUGCCCCUUUUAACGGCACACGCAGCAGAGCGGCGUUCACAAAACACACACCUGCGGGGGAAAUGUUCAAUGCUCAGACUUACUGGAGUUCUGGAGUUGUGUUUCAUUGAAGUAUCAAAGAUGUUUCCCUUGAAAUUCUAUCGUGGGGAAAACACAAAUAGUUGGCAUACAGUAAAAACAACUGGAAGAAUUUGAUGGGAGAAACAACUGAGGUCUCACAGAACCAGGAAGAAGCAGUUCCUCAUCCUGAAGUCAGGACAAAAGCGGUGCUGAUGGCUGUAGUGGAGGCUCUUCAUUUGGACGUAAUCAGGAGAGAGUGUGCGGAGAUGAAAGAUCAUCAGGGAGAACACACAUUUACAAAUGAACACCAUUACUCUCUUCACAUUCAAUAAUCUCACAGCUUACCACCUAAUUACGCCUAUGAAGAGCUGAACUUUUCAUGUUUUCGCUACAAAGUUCAUCAUGCUAACGAGAGGCGUUUCAUCUCUGUAAUGCAUGAUGUCGCUGAUGACCGGCGGAUCGAGAGCUGUUCACCAGGACUACACCAUCAGAAACCAUCAGAAUCACGAUUCACC
ensembl:lncRNA